rnacentral:rRNA from 1 species
UACAGAGGGUGCAAGCGUUGUUCGGAAUUACUGGGCGUAAAGCGCGUGUAGGUGGCGACGUAAGUCGGGUGUGAAAUCCCUUGGCUUAACCAAGGAAGUGCACUCGAUACUGUGUUGCUUGAGUACCGGAGGGGAUGGCGGAAUUCCCGGUGUAGAGGUGAAAUGCGCAGAUAUCAGGAGGAACACCGGUGGCGAAGGCGGGUCUCUGGGCCGAUACUGACGCUGAGGAGCGAAAGCGUGGGGAGCGAACAGG